rnacentral:misc_RNA from 1 species
GAUAACUCAUAAACAUUGCAUCAAAUUAAAUUUACAUACACAAAUCUUAAUUUACAAAAGAAAAAUAAAAAAUAAUAUUAUUACAACUUUAAUGUACAACUGCUCAAUUUUACAUUAACACAUAUGACACUAAACUAUUUACAUCAAAAUAAACUACAAGGGUAUAACUAGAUACCCAUACAAAAGCUUCCGUGUAGUCCCAAUAAUCAGUAGCUCACUCUACUGCUUUUUCCUUGUCUCUAU